CCAGCAAUGCCGCGUGAGUGAUGAAGGCCUUCGGGUGUAAAGCUCUUUCGCACGCGACGAUGAUGACGGUAGCGUGAGAAGAAGCCCCGGCUAACUUCGUGCCAGCAGCCGCGGUAAUACGAAGGGGGCUAGCGUUGUUCGGAAUUACUGGGCGUAAAGGGCGCGUAGGCGGUGUGUCAAGUCAGGCGUGAAAGCCCCGGGCUCAACCUGGGAACCGCGCUUGAGACUGGCACGCUAGAGUUCGGGAGAGGAUGGUGGAAUUCCCAGUGUAGAGGUGAAAUUCGUAGAUAUUGGGAAGAACACCGAUGGCGAAGGCAGCCAUCUGGACCGACACUGACGCUGAGGCGCGAAAGCGUGGGGAGCAAACAGGAUUAGAUACCCUGGUAGUCCACGCCGUAAACGAUGAGUGCUAGACGCCGGGGCCCUCAGGGCUUCGGUGUCGCAGCUAACGCGUUAAGCACUCCGCCUGGGGAGUACGGCCGCAAGGUUA
rnacentral:rRNA from 1 species